rnacentral:tRNA from 1 species
GGUAGUUGGCUCAGUGGUAGAGUGCUUGCCUCGCAUGCAUGAGGCCCUGGGUUCAAUUCCUCAGCACCA